AUUGAACGCUGGCGGCAUGCUUUACACAUGCAAGUCGAACGGUAACAGGCCGCAAGGUGCUGACGAGUGGCGAACGGGUGAGUAAUGCAUCGGAACGUGCCCAGUCGUGGGGGAUAACUACUCGAAAGAGUAGCUAAUACCGCAUACGAUCUAUGGACGAAAGCGGGGGACCGUAAGGCCUCGCGCGAUUGGAGCGGCCGAUGUCAGAUUAGGUAGUUGGUGGGGUAAAGGCUCACCAAGCCAACGAUCUGUAGCUGGUCUGAGAGGACAACCAGCCACACUGGGACUGAGACACGGCCCAGACUCCUACGGGAGGCAGCAGUGGGGAAUUUUGGACAAUGGGCGCAAGCCUGAUCCAGCAAUGCCGCGUGCAGGAAGAAGGCCUUCGGGUUGUAAACUGCUUUUGUACGGAACGAAACGGCUCUGGUUAAUACCCGGGGCUAAUGACGGUACCGUAAGAAUAAGCACCGGCUAACUACGUG
rnacentral:rRNA from 1 species